rnacentral:rRNA from 1 species
GAUGAACACUAGCGGCAGGCUUAACACAUGCAAGUCGAGGGGUAGAGGUUGCUUGCAACCUUGAGACCGGCGCACGGGUGCGUAACGCGUAUGCAACCUACCUUUUACAGAGGGAUAGCCCAGAGAAAUUUGGAUUAAUACCUCAUAGUAUAUAACCUUCGCAUGUUGGUUAUAUUAAAGUUCCAACGGUAACAGAUGGGCAUGCGCCCUAUUAGCUAGAUGGUAAGGUAACGGCUUACCAUGGCUACGAUAGGUAGGGGUCCUGAGAGGGAGAUCCCCCACACUGGUACUGAGACACGGACCAGACUCCUACGGGAGGCAGCAGUGAGGAAUAUUGGACAAUGGGCGCAAGCCUGAUCCAGCCAUGCCGCGUGCAGGAAGAAGCAUCUGUGGUGUGUAAACUGCUUUUGUACAGGAAGAAACACCCCGACGUGUCGGGACUUGACGGUACUGUAAGAAUAAGGAUCGGCUAACUCCGUGCCAGCAGCCGCGGUAAGAC